AGCGCUGAAUCUCUCGGUGUUACACCAUUUAGAAAUGUAGGUGUCGCUUUCAGUUUGUGUUGCAUGUCCAAAAUCCCUUUGAUAGGAGCCACAUUCCCGAGAGGGUGCGAGGCCUGUGCGGACAGUGGAGGAAGCUGUACGGUCGUAUCUUGGAGUCGGUUUGCUUGAAAGUGCAGCCAAAGUGUGUGAUAAACUUCAUCUGAGGCUAAAUAUAGACGCGAAUUCGAUAGCAAACAAGUACUGUGAAG
rnacentral:ncRNA from 1 species